rnacentral:rRNA from 1 species
UACGUAGGUCGCAAGCGUUGUCCGGAUUUACUGGGCGUAAAGAGCGCGCAGGCGGCUGGUCAAGUCCGAUGUGAAAUCUCCCGGCUCAACUGGGAAACUGCAUCGGAAACUGAUCGGCUUGAAGAUGGGAGAGGGUAGUGGAAUUCCCGGUGUAGUGGUGAAAUGCGUAGAUAUGCGGAGGAACACCGAUGGCGAAGGCAGGUCUCUGGGCCGAUACUGACGCUGAGGAGCGAAAGCGUGGGGAGCGAACAGG